GUGGUGACAGUUGCUCCUGUGGAGAUAGCUGCAACUGCCAAUCUGGGUCUAUCACAGAGGCCUUCAUCCUCAACAAGGAUGGAUGCAGCUGUGGGAGUAGCUGUUCAUGUGACCCAUGCAACUGCAAGUGAGCAAUGGGAGGGAUGGAUAAGCCCCAAACAACAAAGCUUCUGGUUCUUAAUACAAUAAAUUGAUGAAUCUACCCACAAAGUUUGUUCCUUUUUUCUUUUUCUUUUUUUUAUCUUUUGGAAUAAUGUAAUUAAGUGAGCCAUGGAAAUUACAAGUCCAUAUGGAUUUGGUUUUGCUAUGGCUUCAACAAAUGUGUACUACUUAUGUGUGGUGGGUUUAGGGUUUCAUAUUCAUCAAACGUUCGACUAUUUCAAAUCCUGUUUAAUAUCA